UUAGAAUCCUAAAAUUGUUAAUUCCAAUUAUAUCGCAGGUACAUCGAGUUAAGACUAUCCUCCCAAGGAAAGUACAAGUUGUAUCAAAUAUUGUGAUUGGGAUUGAAGUUUACUUAAGAAGUUUAAAAAAGCCUCACAAUCAUGUAGCACAAGGUUAUCUUUUGAGUAAAGACCCAACUACAAAAGUAGGUGGGUUUGAAUUAGGACCACAAUAUUAGGAGAUUCAAGUUGAUGUGCCAAUAGUACGCAAUGAACCACUACUUAGACCUUAUGGUGGCUAUCAAACUAUUGGAGAUGCUGUUGGAGCAACUAUUGCUUGGCCAUAUACUUUUGUUAAAUGCAAGUAGUGCACGAUGCCGUAUUUAUCUCUACGUCAUAUAUUUUGAAGCUUUUGGAAUUAAAGAAGAUGAUUUGAAGCUUUUGGAAUUAAAGAAGAUGCGGCGCACAUUUCUUAUCAUUUUGUUAUGAUCACUUUUAUAUGUUAUGAUCUUUUGUUAUGAUCACUUUUAUAUGUUAUUACUUGGAUAUUGAAGUAUUUGUGUUUACAAAUAUUAUCUUAAGGUAUUUUGGGAUGUUA